CCUACGGGAGGCAGCAGUGGGGAAUAUUGGACAAUGGGGGCAACCCUGAUCCAGCCAUGCCGCGUGUGUGAAGAAGGCCCUCGGGUUGUAAAGCACUUUCAGUGAGGAAGAACGCCUGGUGGUUAAUACCCAUCAGGAAAGACAUCACUCACAGAAGAAGCACCGGCUAACUCCGUGCCAGCAGCCGCGGUAAUACGGAGGGUGCGAGCGUUAAUCGGAAUUACUGGGCGUAAAGCGCGCGUAGGUGGCUUGAUAAGCCGGUUGUGAAAGCCCCGGGCUCAACCUGGGAACGGCAUCCGGAACUGUCAAGCUAGAGUGCAGGAGAGGAAGGUAGAAUUCCCGGUGUAGCGGUGAAAUGCGUAGAGAUCGGGAGGAAUACCAGUGGCGAAGGCGGCCUUCUGGACUGACACUGACGCUGAGGUGCGAAAGCGUGGGUAGCAAACAGGAUUAGAUACCCCGGUAGUC
rnacentral:rRNA from 1 species